rnacentral:rRNA from 1 species
CCUACGGGGGGCAGCAGUGAGGAAUAUUGGUCAAUGGACGAGAGUCUGAACCAGCCAAGUAGCGUGAAGGAUGACUGCCCUAUGGGUUGUAAACUUCUUUUAUAUGGGAAUAAAAUGUUCCACGUGUGGGAUUUUGUAUGUACCAUAUGAAUAAGGAUCGGCUAACUCCGUGCCAGCAGCCGCGGUAAUACGGAGGAUCCGAGUGUUAUCCGGAUUUAUUGGGUUUAAAGGGAGCGUAGGUGGAUUGUUAAGUCAGUUGUGAAAGUUUGCGGCUCAACCGUAAAAUUGCAGUUGAAACUGGCAGGCUGGAGUACAGUAGAGGUAGGCGGAAUUCGUAGUGUAGCGGUGAAAUGCGUAGAUAUCACGAAGAACUCCAGUGGCGAAGGCAGCUCACUGGACUGCAACUGACACUGAGGCUCGAAAGUGUGGGUAUCAAACAGGAUUAGAUACCCCGGUAGUC